GGGUUACUGUCCACUAACACACAGACUAAAAUUGUAAUGAUCCAGAGAAGGUUAGCAUGCCCCCUGCACAAAGAUGACACACAAAUUUGUGAAGCAUUUAUAUUUUUU